ensembl:lincRNA
AGUAAAGCAACUACGAAAGAGAACUAUUUGUGCAUCUUAAAGCAUCGAUGCUUCACAAAAGGAUGGAUAACUGGUAUGCCGUAAUGAUGGUCACAGAAAUCCUAAAUGAAGGCAGUAGUUCUGUUUCUGUUUACUACAAGGGAUAUCUUUCCAAAUGAGGAAAUUACCCACAACUAUGGUGAUUCUUCUUGGCCAUGGCAUUCAAGGGAAUUGCAUGAAGCAUCAUUGGUGACUGAGAUUGAAUGCAGUGUGAAAACUUCCAUGUCAGGGAAAGAGAAACAAUUAUGUGAAAAGUCAUCAAUGGCAAUGAUUGAAUGUGGUUCGAAAAAUUUCUACAUCAGGGAAGGAGAAAAAAUUGCAUGAAGAGUCAUUGGUGACUGGGAUCAAAUGCUGUGCGAAAACUUCUACAUCAGGGAAAGAGACAGAGUUGAAUGAAGAGUCAUUGGUGACUGGGAUCAAAUGCAGUGCGAAAACUUCCAAGUCAGGGAAAGAGACAGAAUUAUGUGAAGAGUCAUCAAUGGCGAGGAUCAAAUGCAGUGCAGAAACUUCCACAUCAGGGAAAGAGACAUGUCGCCAUGAAGUACACAGUGCUGUUGUUUCCAGUUUGCAUUCUUGCGAUGGAUGUAGUGGUCCUAUGUUAAGUAGAAAAUGAAGACUUCAACUUGCAAAUACACCAAAUCAAGGAAAGUUAUGAUAAAAUUAUGGAGCACACUGAAGUGGAUGCAGUCAUGGAACAUUUUAAAAGGACACCUCACCACAAAAGCAGAGCGUGAUCAAUGCAAGAUAGCAGAAGACAAAGUUUUUUUUCCCUCUCCGCUGUCGCGACCCGCUUGCAUGGCUUGGGAUCGGUAGAGCUACGCAUCGAUGAAUUUGCUCUUCAGUGUUUGAACUCUCAGUAAUGAUUUAAACCACACUGAACUGAGCUAAACUGAACUGAACUUAAACACUAAAAACUG